rnacentral:rRNA from 1 species
UCGCUGAUGGAUGGGCCCGCGUCGGAUUAGCUAGUUGGUGAGGUAACGGCUCACCAAGGCGACGAUCCGUAGCUGGUCUAAGAGGAUGAUCAGCCACACUGGGACUGAGACACGGCCCAG